GACCCUAUAGAGUUUAAUAUUUAAUUAAAUUUAUUUUUUUUAGAAUUAAUAAAUUAAAUUUAAUUAAAUAUUUAAUUGGGGUGAUUGAAAAAUUAAAUAAACUUUUUUUAUAUAAAAACAUUAAUUUAUGAGUAUUUGAUCCAUUUAUUAUGAUUAUAAGAUUAAAUUACCUUAGGGAUAACAGCGUAAUUUUUUUUGAGAGUUCAAAUCGAAAAAAAAGAUUGCGACCUCGAUGUUGGAUUAAAAUAAAUAUUUGGUGUAGAAGCUAAAUUAAUUGGGUCUGUUCGACCUUUAAAAUUUUACAUGAUCUG
rnacentral:rRNA from 1 species